rnacentral:rRNA from 1 species
UACGAAGGGGGCUAGCGUUGCUCGGAAUCACUGGGCGUAAAGCGCACGUCGGCGGAUUGUUAAGUCCGGGGUGAAAUCCUGGAGCUCAACUCCAGAACUGCCUUUGAUACUGGCGAUCUCGAGUCCGGGAGAGGUGAGUGGAACUGCGAGUGUAGAGGUGAAAUUCGUAGAUAUUCGCAAGAACACCAGUGGCGAAGGCGGCUCACUGGCCCGGUACUGACGCUGAGGUGCGAAAGCGUGGGGAGCAAACAGG